rfam:Picea glauca, whole genome shotgun sequence.
ACAUGCAUACAACAUAGCGUUAAUGCACCGAAUCCCAUUAGAACUUUGCAGUUAAGCGUGCUCAGGCUAGAGUAGUACUGGGAUGGGUGACCUCCCGAGAAGUCCUAUUGUUUUGCAUGCC